rnacentral:rRNA from 1 species
GACGAACGCUGGCGGCGUGCCUAAUACAUGCAAGUUGAGCGCUGAAGGUUGGUACUUGUCCCGACUGGAUGAGCAGCGAACGGGUGAGUAACGCGUGGGGAAUCUGCCUUUGAGCGGGGGACAACAUUUGGAAACGAAUGCUAAUACCGCAUAAAAACUUUAAACACAAGUUUUAAGUUUGAAAGAUGCAAUUGCAUCACUCAAAGAUGAUCCCGCGUUGUAUUAGCUAGUUGGUGAGGUAAAGGCUCACCAAGGCGAUGAUACAUAGCCGACCUGAGAGGGUGAUCGGCCACAUUGGGACUGAGACACGGCCCAAACUCCUACGGGAGGCAGCAGUAGGGAAUCUUCGGCAAUGGACGAAAGUCUGACCGAGCAACGCCGCGUGAGUGAAGAAGGGUUUCGGAUCGUAAAACUCUGUUGGUAGAGAAGAACGUUGGUGGGAGUGGAAAGCUCAUCAAGUGACGGUAACUACCCAGAAAGGGACGGCUAACUACGUG